CAGUAGCCGCGGUAAUACGGAGGGUGCAAGCGUUAAUCGGAAUUACUGGGCGUAAAGCGCACGCAGGCGGUCUGACAAGUCAGAUGUGAAAUCCCCGGGCUUAACCUGGGAACUGCAUUUGAAACUGUCAGGCUGGAGUCUUGUAGAGGGGGGUAGAAUUCCAGGUGUAGCGGUGAAAUGCGUAGAGAUCUGGAGGAAUACCGGUGGCGAAGGCGGCCCCCUGGACAAAGACUGACGCUCAGGUGCGAAAGCGUGGGGAGCAAACAGGAUUAGAUACCCGGGUAGUCCCUGUCUCUUAUAA
rnacentral:rRNA from 1 species